rnacentral:rRNA from 1 species
GGGCUUGCGCCACAUUAGUUAGUUGGUGAGGUAAAGGCUUACCAAGAUUAUGAUGUGUAGCUGGACUGAGAGGUUGAACAGCCACAUUGGGACUGAGACACGGCCCAAACUCCUACGGGAGGCAGCAGUAGGGAAUUUUCGGCAAUGGAGGAAACUCUGACCGAGCGACGCCGCGUGAACGAUGAAGUAUUUCGGUAUGUAAAGUUCUUUUAUUGAAGAAGAAAAAAUAGUGGAAAAACUAUCUUGACGUUAUUCAAUGAAUAAGCCCCGGCUAACUAUGUGCCAGCAGCCGCGGUAAGACAUAGGGGGCGAGCGUUAUCCGGAAUUAUUGGGCGUAAAGGGUGCGUAGGCGGUUAGAUAAGUCUAUAAUUUAAUUUCAGUGCUUAACGCUGUCUUGUUAUAGAAACUGUCUUGACUAGAGUGAGAUAGAGGCAAGCGGAAUUCCAUGUGUAGCGGUAAAAUGUGUAAAUAUAUGGAGGAACACCAGAAGCGUAGGCGGCUUGCUGGGUCUUUACUGACGCUGAGGCACGAAAGCGUGGGGAGCAAACAGGAUUAGAUACCCUGGUAGUCCACGCUGUAAACGAUGAGUACUAAGUGUCGGGGUAACUCGGUACUGAAGUUAACACAUUAAGUACUCCGCCUGAGUAGUACGUACGCAAGUAUGAAACUUAAAGGAAUUGACGGGACUCCGCACAAGCGGUGGAUCAUGUUGUUUAAUUCGAAGAUACACGAAAAACCUUACCAGGUCUUGACAUACUCUGCAAAGCUAUAGAAAUAUAGUGGAGGUUAUCAGGGAUACAGGUGGUGCAUGGUUGUCGUCAGUUCGUGUCGUGAGAUGUUAGGUUAAGUCCUAAAACGAACGCAACCCCUGUCGCUAGUUGCCAGCACGUAAUGGUGGGGACUUUAGCGAGACUGCCAAUUAAACAUUGGAGGAAGGUGGGGAUAACGUCAAAUCAUCAUGCCCCUUAUGAUCUGGGCUACAAACGUGAUACAAUGGCUA